GAUGAACGCUGGCGGCGUGCCUAAUACAUGCCAGUCGAGCGAACAGACGAGAGUGCUUGCACUCUCUGACGUUAGCGGCGGACGGGUGAGUAACACGUGGGUAACCUACCUAUAAGACUGGGAUAACUUCGGGAAACCGGCGCUAAUACCGGAUAAUAUUUAGCUUCGCAUGAAGCAAUAGUGAAAGACGGUUCUGCUGUCACUUUUAGAUCGACCCGCGGUGUAUUAGCUAGUUGGUGAGGUAACGGCUCACCAAGGCAACGAUACAUAGCCGACCUGAGAGGGUGAUCGGCCACACUGUGACUGAGACACGGCCCAGACUCCUACGGGAGGCAGCAGUAGGGAAUCUUCCGCGAUGGACGAAAGUCUGACGGAGCAAUGCCGCGUGAGUGAUGAAGGUUUUCGGAUCGUAGAACUCUGUUGUAAGGAAAGAACAAGUACGUUAGUAACUGAACGUACCUUGACGGUACCUUACCAGAAAGCCACGGCUAACUACGUG
rnacentral:rRNA from 1 species